CUCCACAGGGAUUCUUACUAAAUGUUGAGCUCCAGUAUUACUCGACUAGUAUUCUUACCAUAUUCUGACCACCAUUCACUUUCUAUUAGGAUUCCUACGAUUGUCUUAACAUCGGUCUAUCUUAAGUAGAAGCAAGUAUACCAACUAAUCUGCAGUCUCUCUUCAAACUAUCUUCUGAAGACGCGUCUCAACAAAGAUUCUUAUGAUCUACUGGCCUCUAGUCUCUCUUCAGCAGGAGCUUUUUACAUCAGUCUGUCACAGUUCUAGGAAUUUUGCCAUCACCUAAAUCAAGUUUCUCCACACUCUAGGUUUUUUUGUUUCUGUCUACUG